CAGACACACACACACACACACACACACACACACACUCACACACACACACUGUCUUUUGUUUGGAGUCAGACAGCCUUGAAGGCAGAUCCUGUGGCCCUUCUGAGGAGAAUGUUAAUAUGCCCGCUCUGGUCUCUCUGGGGACGCAGAGAAUGGACUCUGGCUGCUAAUGCACUGUCACACUAACCCGCUCACUUUUUUUCUCUCACACAGUUAGCAACUGCAGCAUUACUGCCAACACUGUGAACCCCGCUCACAGCUCACUGGAUCAUUAAGAGUUCCUCCGACGAAACUCCAGCUGUGAGAAGGGGAAACGCGCUGCACCGCACUGAAGUCCUUUCAUAAUGAAUGGCAAGCCGAGCGUAAAUGACAGUCGACUCGGAGGCAGACACUUUCUUCCCUCCACCAUCGCGGGCAGCUCUGUACUUCGCUUCCAUCUUCUCCUCCGCUCACGUCUUUCAUUAAACCAGCAAUUCCGUUGCUACAUCAUCUGAUUUGAUGCAUUAAUAAAAUAAUCACAACUAGUCAAAGUUAUUUAUCUGCCAUAAACUGAUUUAAAACAGAAUUAAUGAACCCCCCCCCACCCGAUGUGUCUAUUCACUUUCUAUCACCACGAAUAAUCCCGAGAGUUUUUCAACAGGGAGCACUGGGAUCGAUCGCGCUGCACGGUUAGAUCAGAAACACCCGAGCAGCUUUUCAGAAUUAGUGUUGAUGCAGAGGAACGAAUUAGGACUUGAGGCAGCAGAUGGAGCUUUUUCACCACACGAGGCGUCCGCCCAACGCAUGUCUCCUCCCGGCUCCGAGCAUCUCCGUGCAGCUGCUGGUGUGGCUGUUGAAACUGAGCUCUUGUGAUCUCAGUUCCCUCCCAACAGCUGCUCCCGAGCUAAACAAAGUAUUGAUCCAGUCCAUCAUUUUCACACUGGUGUGUCUGGAGGGUUGGUGAUGUGUUCAUGUCAUGUUUGUGCUGUCAAGAGAUGGCCUGGUGGAAAAGUUUGACUCGUAGCUGCUAGUGUGCGUGUGUGUGUAGCUCAAUUACACAGCGGCUAUAGGUUUCAUAGAUCACCGACAGGCAGCUCAUGAAUUUAAACAACUGUAGAUUUGAAAACAUUUAUCAAAUAUCUGUGAAACAUUUCAUCAACAUAGAAAAGCACAUCACUCCACCGAGGCUACCGCCCUAUCGCCAUGUUUAGGAGAGUAGGGAUGGGCCCUUUUAUUUGAAUCCCAAACUUUAAUGGGUUCUUCCUGGGGUCAUGGCCCACCCCUCCACAAGACUUUAUGAGAAUUUGUUCAGAAGAUUCUCUGAAGUAAAAUAACAAUCACACCCGAACAAACAUGUCUUGUCCUAUUUAGAAAUCAACAUAGUUUGAUGCCAAAACUGUGUAAAUACCCAUGUGGUGUGCUAUAAUAUUCUAUGGUUAGCUUACAAGUAAUUCUGCUAAAAUGAAUCACCUACAUGUUCGAUAAUUGUUUAGAAGGAACAAACAAGCAAGCAGAGUGCUUCCUUCAGCUAAUGUAGGAAGGUGCUGAGAAUUUGUCUUUAUUUGUUCCUCCGUCCAAGUUGAGAUGUCUUGGAAACCACAGAUGAAUUUGUUUAGAAAAAGUCUGUUUCAUUGGCGCCUGGUGUCUUUUGUUUCAACCAUUUCCUGUUGAACUCUGUUGGAUUCUGAAGGAAAGUGUCCCCAGAGACACACAAAUACUUUAAAUCCCCUGUCCUCUAUAUAAUCCUGCUAAUGACUUUAUGAUUAACAUCAAUACAUUUUUUACUCAUUUAUACCCAUCGUAUCAUUCUUUGUCUAAAUUUCGUGAUUUAGUUGAAUGCGAUAUACUGAAUGCUGUGAUUGGCUGAUGGCUCGGAUCUCGUGGAACUCACCGCCCCUGCCUCCCGGCUGCGGCAACUUAUUUUCCCAAUGGAAAAAAUGUAAUCCAGCUGUAAAUCUUAUUUCCUCAACAGUAUAUCUCAUCAGAAAUAAUUCAUACAUCUGUAUUUGACAGCCGUUAAAGAGAGACAGGAAAUGUGGGGGAGAGAUGUUUGAAAUGUAAUAAACGUGGGGACGUUUACAGAAUGUCAUGCUGGGAACUGAACUAUGGAUGUUGCACUUGUGGGACUUCAUCUCGAUGAACUGGUCAGAUUCUGCAUGUGAAUAUAGAGAAUCUGCAGGCGUGGGACGAGGUUCUUCUGGUAAAGUUUCUAGUUGGACCAAUCACGUUUGAGCAGGCUUUGGUUGUCUGCUGGUCAACACUUGCAUCAGCUAUAUCGUAUUAUUUUAUACUAAUUGGCAGAUAGCUGUUAAUAGAGAUUAGCCAAAAUGUUGUCCGGUGAUGUCGUCUCUCAACUCCAGCUUCCGUCUUCCAUCUGCUGUUGCUAGUUGGACUGUAAACACCGAGCUGUGAAUGGAGAUUCCUCGAGACGCUUCAGCUGACGAUGUUUUCUGAGAUUUUGUGUGACAUGAUGACUAGAAGACUUUUUAAAAAAAGUUUUGAAAAUAUCUAUUUUUAUCUUUCUGUAAGUCAAAGGGACAUAAUGUGAGCAAACAUGCGGAAAACCGUAUACAAUCUGACGGAGCAGGUUUAUGAGGCUCCAGCUGUUAACAACCAGAUAACAACCACACUUUGGAAACACAUUGGAUUUUCUGUUUGAAAAUGCGCAUUUGCUGUAAAGCUGAGGUUUGCCACAGCACUUUGUCUCUGGGUGUGUACUGAUUGUUAUACUGUUGUUGUAGCUGUUGUACUGCAUAAAUAUUUUACUGUAGCCUGACCAAGCACAUAUGUUCAGUGUAUUCACACUCAAGGCUGAAAUGUUUGCCAUGUCAAGGACCUGGUUUGUCACCUAUUUUGUAAGCCAUGUUGCCUGCUAUGUAUUUGCAUGAAAAACUGGAGAAUUUAAGUAAAUUUAGU